CUCACCCUCUCUUGAGCUACACAUGCUACUCCUGAGAUGCCAGUGAUCCUGACCCUUUCUGCUUUUCAGACCUGCCUGGUCCAUCCUGAUGCCCUACUUCUGGUUGUUUUCACCACUUGGAAAGCACUCACUGCCGCUGAGAAACCGUGACGAGACGAAGAGGACCUCAGAUGGCGCAAGACAGGUCCUUGUCCACUGAGCAGAUGCUUUUGGAAAGCUUUCAGCCGAAGGCGGACGACGACAACGUCAUAACAUCAAUUCAGAUAAGAUCACUGAAAUUUAUUUAGGGCAGUGAUUCUUAAUGUUUCUCCUUUUCUAGAACGUCUUAAAAAAAGAUCAGGAAGAUGCCCAGAUAGAUUGCUCUAGACGCAAGAAGAUGAUCAUUUAAAAGAAAAUAAACUGG